rnacentral:rRNA from 1 species
UACGUAGGGUGCAAGCGUUGUCCGGAAUUAUUGGGCGUAAAGAGCUCGUAGGCGGUCUGUCGCGUCGGCUGUGAAAUCCCGAGGCUCAACCUCGGGUCUGCAGUCGAUACGGGCAAACUGGAGUGUUGCAGGGGAGACUGGAAUUCCUGGUGUAGCGGUGAAAUGCGCAGAUAUCAGGAGGAACACCGGUGGCGAAGGCGGUUACCUGGAGCUUUGCUGACGCUGAUGCGCGAAAGCGUGGGGAGCGAUCCGG